GACGAACGCUGGCGGCGUGCUUAACACAUGCAAGUCGAACGGAAAGGCCCGGCUUUUGUGCGCUGCUCGAGUGGCCAACGGGUGAGUAACACGUGAGUAACCUGCCCUUGACUUUGGGAUAACUUCAGGAAACUGGGUCUAAUACCGGAUAGGAGCUCCUGCUGCAUGGUGGGGGUUGGAAAGUUUCGGCGGUUGGGGAUGGACUGGCCGCUUAUCAGCUUGUUGGUUGGGUAGUGGCUUACCAUGGCUUUGACGGGUAGCCGGCCUGGGAGGGUGACCGGCCAAAUUGGGACUGGGAUACGGCCCGGACUCCUACGGGAGGCAGCAGUGGGGAGUAUUACAUAAUGGGCGGGAGCCUGAUGUAGCAACGCCGCGUGCGGGAUGACGGCCUGCGGGUUGUAUACCGCUUUCGCCUGUGACGAAGCGUGAGUGACGGUAAUGGGUAAAGAAGCACCGGCUAACUACGUG
rnacentral:rRNA from 1 species